rnacentral:rRNA from 1 species
GAUGAACGCUGGCGGCGUGCCUAAUACAUGCAAGUCGAGCGAACAGAUAAGGAGCUUGCUCCUUUGACGUUAGCGGCGGACGGGUGAGUAACACGUGGGUAACCUACCUAUAAGACUGGGAUAACUUCGGGAAACCGGAGCUAAUACCGGAUAACAUUUGGAACCGCAUGGUUCUAAAGUGAAAGAUGGUUUUGCUAUCACUUAUAGAUGGACCCGCGCCGUAUUAGCUAGUUGGUAAGGUAACGGCUUACCAAGGCAACGAUACGUAGCCGACCUGAGAGGAUGAUCAGCCACACUGGAACUGAGACACGGUCCAGACUCCUACGGGAGGCAGCAGUAGGGAAUCUUCCGCAAUGGGCGAAAGCCUGACGGAGCAACGCCGCGUGAGUGAUGAAGGGUUUCGGCUCGUAAAACUCUGUUAUUAGGGAAGAACAAACGUGUAAGUAACUGUGCACGUCUUGACGGUACCUAAUCAGAAAGCCACGGCUAACUACGUG